GCCCGUAUAGCUCAGUGGUAGAGCGCGUCACUCGUAUUCCGCUUGGAAUCGACAUGACGAGGUCCGUUGUUCAAUCCAGCGUGUGGGCA
rnacentral:tRNA from 2 species